GGUAGGAACAAUUUCAAGAGAAAAUGUGAGCAGUUGUUCUCAGUUUUGAAUUCUGUCCAAGAGCUGCAGACCAAGUUGCCCCUUAGGCCUACAAAAGUGAAAACAGAAACUUGGCUUCAGAGGGUGGGUGGCAAGGAAAACAGACAACAAGUCAAAGCAGGCUCAUAAAUGGAUGGCAGGUUGGGUUAUUCAGCUUCUUUCAGAAGGGAUGGUGGCCACAUGACACGUGCUCUUAGAAUCCUUGCAAAAACUCCUGCAGCUGGGUGACAAUUUCUGUGUCCACCGUUUCCAUGAGGGACUGGAAGCCUUGCUCCCCCAGGAUCUCCUGCUGCGCCUUGAGCUUCUCAUAGAUGAACUGCUGCAGAGACACUGUGUGCACCGGGUCCUUCAGGGCCAGCUGCGGGACAGAGGACAGACAGGGUCAGAGAGACAGACAAUCCUCCUGCACGUCCUCACUGGGCUCUGUAAUCUCUCCACAGCAACACUUCUAAGAGCCUCCUGCAGACAGUGUUUUGGGGCCCUGAGUGUGUUGCUCUGACGUGCCCAGUUUCUCAAGGGAAUACAUCCUUUCAAAAUGCUAGAAUCUAGUAGAAAGCACCCUAAGAGGAAAAGAACGAGGGUACCAGUGCAACGACUGCUCUCCUAGACAGUCAGAUUCCACAGCAGCAGCAGCACCUGCCCCCCCAACCCCCAGGCAAGCGCACACUAUUUGCUCUAGCUUACACUGCAACACCAUUUAGUCCGUGCCUAUGUUUUUAGGUUGGGGGGAGUGUCAAAUUUUGUUCUUCCUAUUUUUUAACCUGUUAAACAUACGUAAAAGAGACCACAGUUUAAACAAUUUUAUCUUUAACUUUGCUGGGUAUGCCACAGUUUUGAGCUACUGUGUAAGCAGCCUUUCUUUAUACUUUGGCUUCUUUCCUUUGGUUUGGAACAGGUCUCCGGCAGUCAAAGCUAGCCCCAUACUAGAAACUGUAGCUCCUGUGCCUUGGGCUGCUGCUUUCACCUCCAAGCACUGGGUUUUGGGCAUGUGCCACUAUAGGUGAGUGCCACUAUGCUCAGAACGCCAUCUUGGAUUCCUAGGAUAUGGAAAGAACCACUAGGGCAUAGAACAUUUGUGACUCCUGAUACAUCAGCUUCUUUUCCCUAUGGUUUGUACCAGUAUACGAGAUAACAGUAUUUGGUUGCUAACACUGUGUUGCCACUGUUAUUAUCUAAAUGACUAAUAAUUAUAACAACAAACAAUACAGAAUUAGUAUAAGCUGAGCAUUUAUUUUUACCAUCAGUGACCUUGAAUAUCUGCAUAACUUUCAAUAAAGUAUAUGAAUGUCUUUGCCCAAUGU
rnacentral:lncRNA from 1 species